GACGAACGCUGGCGGCGUGCCUAAUACAUGCAAGUUGAGCGCCGACGGCUUGUACUUGUACCCACUGGAUGAGCAGCGAACGGGUGAGUAACGCGUGGGGAAUCUUCCUUUGAGCGGGGGACAACAUUUGGAAACGAAUGCUACUACCGCAUAAAAACUUUAAACACAAGUUUUAAGUUUGAAAGAUGCAAUUGCAUCACUCAAAGAUGAUCCCGCGUUGUAUUAGCUUGUUGGUGAGGUAAAGGCUCACCAAGUCGAUGGUACAUAGCCGACCGGAGAGGGUGAUCGGCCAAUUAGGGACUGGGACACGGCCCAAACUCCUCCGGGAGGCAGCAGUAGGGGAUCUUCGGCAAAGGACGAAAGGCUGACCGCGCAAAGCCGCGUGAGUGAAGAAGGGUUUCGGAUCGUAAAACACUGUUGGUAGAGAAGAAAGUUGAUGAGAGUGAAAAGCUCAUGAAGUGACGGUAACUACCCAGAAAGGGACGGCUAACUACGUG
rnacentral:rRNA from 1 species